CAAGACCUUGCGCUGAUUGAGCGGCCGAUAUCAGAUUAGCUAGUUGUUGAGGUAAAGGCUCACCAAGGCGACGAUCUGUAGCGGGUCUGAGAGGAUGAUCCGCCACACUGGAACUGAGACACGGUCCAGACUCCUACGGGAGGCAGCAGUGGGGAAUUUUGGACAAUGGGGGCAACCCUGAUCCAGCCAUGCCGCGUGAGUGAAGAAGGCCUUCGGGUUGUAAAGCUCUUUCGGCCGGGAAGAAAUCGCAUUGGUUAAUACCCAGUGUGGAUGACGGUACCGGAAUAAGAAGCACCGGCUAACUACGUGCCAGCAGCCGCGGUAAUACGUAGGGUGCGAGCGUUAAUCGGAAUUACUGGGCGUAAAGCGUGCGCAGGCGGUUUUGUAAGACAGGCGUGAAAUCCCCGAGCUCAACCUGGGAACU
rnacentral:rRNA from 1 species